CCCACCGCGUGCUCCCCCUUGGCACGCCGCGCUGCACGAUGUACAUCUCCACGGGGAAGUAGACGGUGAGCGGCCAGAAGGCGACGGCGCCGAGGAGCCCCACGACGUCGCCGAAGAAGGGGAGCAGCAUGGAGACGACGGUGGUGAGGCAGACGAAGGCCGUGCGCCAUGUGAGCCGGAAGACGCUGAUGGCCAAGGGCCCCACGCGGAGCUCCCGGGCGAUGAAGGCGCUGUCGGGCCACC
rnacentral:lncRNA from 1 species